CUUAACAUCCAGAGAAUUUAGCAGAGAUGCUUUAGUGCCUUCGGGAACUCUGAGACAGGUGCUGCAUGGCUGUCGUCAGCUCGUGUUGUGAAAUGUUGGGUUAAGUCCCGNAACGAGCGCAACCCUUAUCCUUUGUUGCCAGCACGUAAUGGUGGGAACUCAAAGGAGACUGCCGGUGAUAAACCGGAGGAAGGUGGGGAUGACGUCAAGUCAUCAUGGCCCUUACGAGUAGGGCUACACACGUGCUACAAUGGCGCAUACAAAGAGAAGCGACCUCGCGAGAGCAAGCGGACCUCAUAAAGUGCGUCGUAGUCCGGAUUGGAGUCUGCAACUCGACUCCAUGAAGUCGGAAUCGCUAGUAAUCGUAAAUCAGAAUGUUACGGUGAAUACGUUCCCGGGCCUUGUACACACCGCCCGUCACACCAUGGGAGUGGGUUGCAAAAGAAGUAGAUAGCUUAACCUUCGGGAGGGCGUUUACCACUUUGUGAUUCAUGACUGGGGUGAAGUCGUAACAAGGUAGGCGUAGUGCU
rnacentral:rRNA from 1 species